UACGGAGGGAGCUAGCGUUAUUCGGAAUUACUGGGCGUAAAGCGCACGUAGGCGGCUUUGUAAGUUAGAGGUGAAAGCCUGGAGCUCAACUCCAGAAUUGCCUUUAAGACUGCAUCGCUUGAAUCCAGGAGAGGUGAGUGGAAUUCCGAGUGUAGAGGUGAAAUUCGUAGAUAUUCGGAAGAACACCAGUGGCGAAGGCGGCUCACUGGACUGGUAUUGACGCUGAGGUGCGAAAGCGUGAGGAGCAAACAGG
rnacentral:rRNA from 1 species